GUUUAGUGGAGAUUUAGUGGAGGUUUAGUGGAGGUUUAGUGGAGAUUUAGUGGAGGUUUAGUGGAGGUUUAGUGGAGGUUUAGUGGAGGUUUAGUGGAGAUUUAGUGGAGGUUUAGUGGAGGUUUAGUGGAGGUUUAGUAUAGGUUCAGUGGAGGUUUAGUGGAAGUUUAGUGGAGAUUUAGUGGAGGUUUAGUGGAGGGUCAGUGGAGGUUUAGUGGAGGUUUAGUGGAGGGUCAGUGGAGGUUUAGUGGAGGUUUAGUGGACGUUUAGUGGAGGUUGAAAGACAGUGGAGGUUUAGUGGAGGUUUAGUGGAGGUUUAGUGGAGGUUUAGUGGAGAUUGAAAGACAGUGGAGGUUUAGUGGAGGUUUAGUGGAGGUUUAGUGGAGAUUUAGUGGAGGUUUAGUGGAGGUUUAGUGGAGGUUUAGUGGAGAUUUAGUGGAGGUUUUGUGGAGGUUUAGUGGAGGUUUAGUGGAGGUUCAGUGGAGAUUUAGUGGAGGUUUAGUGGAGGUUUAGUGGAGGUUUAGUGGAGGUUCAGUGGAGAUUUAGUGGAGGUUUAGUGGAGGUUUAGUGGAGGUUUAGUGGAGGUUCAGUGGAG
ensembl:lncRNA